rnacentral:rRNA from 2 species
UGCAGAAUCCCGCGAACCAUCGAGUCUUUGAACGCAAGUUGCGCCCGAGGCCACUUGGCCGAGGGCACGCCUGCCUGGGCGUCACGCCAAACACGCUCCCACCCCUCAUCGGGUGGUGGGAUGCGGCAUGUGGCUCCCCGUCUUGCAAGGGGCGGUGGGCCGAAGAUGCGGCUGCCGGCGUAUCGUGCCGGACACAGCGCGUGGUGGGCGAACUCGCUUUACUUACCGCAGUGCAUCCGGCCCAUAGCCGACGUGAUGGCCUUAAGGACCCUAUGAACGGAGCGCAUGACGCUCCGACCGCGACCCCAGGUCAGGCGGGACUACCCGCUGAAUUUAAGCAUAUAAAUAAGCGGAGGAGAAGAAACUUACAAGGAUUCCCCUAGUAACGGCGAGCGAACCGGGAUCAGCCCAGCUUGAGAAUCGGGCGGCCGUGCCGUCCGA